CAGUCGCCGCGGUAAAACGAAGGGUGCAAGCGUUACUCGGAAUUACUGGGCGUAAAGCGUGCGUAGGUGGUGGUUUAAGUCCGUUGUGAAAGCCCUGGGCUCAACCUGGGAAUUGCAGUGGAUACUGGGUCACUAGAGUGUGGUAGAGGAUAGUGGAAUUUCCGGUGUAGCAGUGAAAUGCGUAGAGAUCGGAAGGAACAUCUGUGGCGAAGGCGACUAUCUGGGCCAACACUGACACUGAGGCACGAAAGCGUGGGGAGCAAACAGGAUUAGAUACCCCUGUAGUCCCUGUCUCUUUACA
rnacentral:rRNA from 1 species